AACAAUAAGAGAGGUAAAUAGGGAGCCUACACCCUGGGAACAAAUCUUUACUCCUCACACUUCAGAUAGAGCCCUAAUAUCCAGAGUAUACAAAGAACUCAAAAAAUUAGACAAUAAGAGAACAAACAACCCAAUCAACAAAUGGGCCAAGGAUCUGAACAGACACUUCUCAGAGGAGGACAUACAGUCAAUCAACAAGUACAUGAAAAAAUGCUCACCAUCUCUAGCUGUCAGAGAAAUGCAAAUCAAAACCACCCUAAGAUACCAUCUCACUCCAGUAAGAUUGGCAGCCAUUAUGAAGUCAAACAACAACAAGUGCUGGUGAGGAUGUGGGGAAAAGGGUACACUUGUACAUUGCUGGUGGGACUGCAGAUUGGUGCAGCCAAUUUGGAAAGCAGUAUGGAGAUUUCUUGGAAAGCUGGGAAUGGAGCCACCAUUUGACCCAGCUAUUCCCCU
rnacentral:lncRNA from 1 species